rnacentral:rRNA from 1 species
AUUGAACGCUGGCGGCGGGCUUAACACAUGCAAGUCGAGCGGAGAUGAGGUGCUUGCACCUUAUCUUAGCGGCGGACGGGUGAGUAAUGCUUAGGAAUCUGCCUAUUAGUGGGGGACAACAUUCCGAAAGGAAUGCUAAUACCGCAUACGCCCUACGGGGGAAAGCAGGGGAACAUCGGACAUUGGGCUAAUAGGGGAGCCUAAGUCGGAUUAGCUAGUUGGUGGGGUAAAGGCCUACCAAGGCGACGAUCUGGAGCGGGUCUGAGAGGAUGAUCCGCCACACUGGGACUGAGACACGGCCCAGACUCCUACGGGAGGCAGCAGUGGGGAAUAUUGGACAAUGGGCGGAAGCCUGAUCCAGCCAUGCCGCGUGUGUGAAGAAGGCCUUUUGGUUGUAAAGCACUUUAAGCGAGGAGGAGGCUACCUGGAUUAAUACUCUAGGAUAGUGGACGUUACUCGCAGAAUAAGCACCGGCUAACUCUGUGCCAGCAGCCGCCGCGGUA